GAUGAACGCUGGCGGCGUGCCUAACACAUGCAAGUCGAACGAUGAAGCAAGAGCUAAGUACUUGUACGAAGCACUUGUGGAAGAGUGGCGAACGGGUGAGUAACACGUGAGUAACCUGCCUAUGGCUAGGGAAUAACUUUGGGAAACCAAAGCUAAUACCGUAUGACGUUGGAUGAAGACAUCUUCGACCAACCAAAGAUUUAUCGGCCAUAGAUGGGCUCGCGCCCGAUUAGAUAGUUGGUGAGGUAAUGGCUCACCAAGUCCGUGAUCGGUAGCCGGACUGAGAGGUCGAUCGGCCACAUUGGGACUGAGACACGGCCCAGACUCCUACGGGAGGCAGCAGUGGGGAAUUUUGGGCAAUGGGCGAAAGCCUGACCCAGCGACGCCGCGUGAAGGACGAAGGCCUUCGGGUUGUAAACUUCUUUGACCAGGGAAGAUAAUGACUGUACCUGGAGAACAAGCCACGGCUAACUACGUGCCAGCCGCCGCGGUAAU
rnacentral:rRNA from 1 species